rnacentral:rRNA from 1 species
UGGGGAAUUUUGGACAAUGGGCGAAAGCCUGAUCCAGCAAUGCCGCGUGCAGGAUGAAGGCCUUCGGGUUGUAAACUGCUUUUGUACGGAACGAAAAAGCUCCUUCUAAUACAGGGGGCCCAUGACGGUACCGUAAGAAUAAGCACCGGCUAACUACGUGCCAGCAGCCGCGGUAAUACGUAGGGUGCGAGCGUUAAUCGGAAUUGCUGGGCGUAAAGCGUGCGCAGGCGGUUAUGUAAGACAGAUGUGAAAUCCCCGGGCUCAACCUGGGAACUGCAUUUGUGACUGCAUGGCUAGAGUACGGUAGAGGGGGAUGGAAUUCCGCGUGUAGCAGUGAAAUGCGUAGAUAUGCGGAGGAACACCGAUGGCGAAGGCAAUCCCCUGGACCUGUACUGACGCUCAUGCACGAAAGCGUGGGGAGCAAACAGG